rnacentral:rRNA from 1 species
UACGUAGGUGGCAAGCGUUGUCCGGAUUUAUUGGGUUUAAAGGGUGCGUAGGCGGACAAGUAAGUCAGGGGUGAAAGACGGCCGCUCAACGGUCGCAGUGCCUUUGAUACUGCAUGUCUUGAGUGCAGACGAGGUCUGUGGAAUGGAUGGUGUAGCGGUGAAAUGCUUAGAUACCAUCCAGAACACCAAUUGCGAAGGCAGCAGACUAGGGUGCAACUGACGCUGAGGCACGAAAGUGCGGGGAUCAAACAGG